CUGCACUGGCAUGUGGAGGACCAGUGCCUGGCUAGUGCUGCCAAAGAAGAAGCUAUUCAGAAGAGCAAGCAGCGUGUGAGAGCGGUGCCCAGCUCCUCAAGAGCUCUACCCCACACCCAGCAGAGAAAAAGGAGGCGUUUGUGGCUGGUGGUGUCCCCAGGACUGGAGCUGUCAUUGCAUAGCUGUCCACUCUCCCCCUGAGGAAGCAGGUGGAGUUAAAGAGGACACCCACAAACUAGCUCUGUUCUCUGGAUGUGCCUGAAGCACAUUCAAAAUGCCGGAUGUCCAGGCAUAUGUCCAGUCACAUUCACUUCUGGCUGGAAUUGUGAUCCAGAACAGUGUUUACUCGUGAAAAUGAAGCAGGACAGCCUCUCUGAUUACUGCUGAGAG